UGAAAUGGAUGAAAUGUCAUAUUGCUCUUUCUCUGGUGGAGAAGAAUUUAAAAAUCACUUCCAAGCCGCCUUCUCGGAGACAAUCCACGAGGACGGCGUCUCCAAACACCCUGAAGCAUGGGGACUGCUGAAGAUAUCCCAGGUCUGUUGU